UUGAAGAUAUAACAACAAAGCUACAAGAAACAAUUAACAGCAGUUUUGAGAAAGUAUCGGAUACAAUCAAAUCCAGUGUAGAAAACACAUUCGGCGAUUAUUUCCAAAAGAUCAACCUAACCAAGUUAUCAGAAGAACAUCAAAUACAGAAGUCCAAUUUACAAAGUUAUUUAGUAGCACAAGUAGAAGCACACGGUUCAGAAAACACUUUCGUCGAAACUGACAUUAUCAACAUUGGUAUUUCUUGCUUAAAUGGAAAAGGAGUUACUGUCUUGGUUGGACCUCCUGGCACUGGAAAAACCAGAAAUAGCUUAGAGUUGCUGAGAAAAUAUACAGAACAACACACAGACUUCGGUAUGAUCCAGCUACAUGAAUCAUCGCUAUUUAGU